UGGGGGAUAUUGCACAAUGGGGGGAACCCGUGAUGCAGCGACGCCGCGUGGGUGAAGGAGUGCUUCGGCAUGUAAAGCCCUAUCGGCAGGGAAGAAAAUGACGGUACCUGAAGAAGAAGCCCCGGCUAACUACGUGCC
rnacentral:rRNA from 1 species